AGCAGUCGCCGCGGGAAUACGUAGAGGGCAAGCGUUGUCCGGAAUUAUUGGGCGUAAAGCGCGCGCAGGCGGUUUUUUAAGUCUGGUGUCUAAGUGCGGGGCUCAACCCCGUGACGCACUGGAAACUGGGAGACUUGAGUGCAGAAGAGGAGAGCGGAAUUCCACGUGUAGCGGUGAAAUGCGUAGAGAUGUGGAGGAACACCAGUGGCGAAGGCGGCUCUCUGGACUGUAACUGACGCUGAGGCGCGAAAGCGUGGGGAGCAAACAGGAUUAGAUACCCGGGUAGUCCCUGUCUCUUAUACA
rnacentral:rRNA from 1 species